rnacentral:rRNA from 1 species
GAAGGAAUGGUGAAAAGGACCCCGGGAGGGGAGUGAAAGAGCACCUGAAACCCUGUGUCUGCAAGCUGUGGGAGGACGUUAAGGUCCGACCGCGUACUUUUUGUAGAACGGUCCGGCGAGCUGCCACAUCCGGCGAGGUUAAGCACUUAAGGUGCGGAGCCGGAGGGAAACCGAGUCUUAACAGGGCGUUAAGUCGGAUGGGGCAGGCCCGAAACCGGGUGAUCUAUCCAUGUCCAGGAUGAAGCUGUCGUAAAAGACAAUGGAGGUCCGAACACACAUCCGUUGAAAAGGGUGGUGAUGAGGUGUGGAUAGGGGAGAAAUUCCAAUCGAACCCGGAGAUAGCUGGUUCUCCUCGAAAUAGCUUUAGGGCUAGCCUCUUAAAAGAGUAACGGAGGUAGAGCACUGAAUAGCCUAGGGGGCGUCAAAGCCUACCGAAGCUUAUCAAACUCCGAAUGCCGUAUACUUGAUUUAAGGGAGUCAGACUGCACGAGAUAAGUUGGGCAGUCAAAAGGGAAAGAGCCCAGACCGCCAGCUAAGGCCCCAAAAUGCAUGUUAAGUGGAAAAGGAUGUGGGAUCUCUAAGACAACUAGGAUGUUGGCUCAGAAGCAGCCAUGCAUUCAAAGAGUGCGUAAUAGCUCACUAGUCGAGAGGUCCUGCGCCGAAAAUGUCCGGGGCUGAAACAUGCUGCCGAAGCUGCGGAACCGCAAGGUUGGUAGAGGAGCAUUGAAUGCGGGAAGAAGCUGUACCGAAAGGAGCAGUGGACUGCAUUGAAGAGAGAAUGCCGGAAUGAGUAGCGAGAAAUAGGUGAGAAUCCUAUUGGCCGAAUAUCCAAGGAUUCCAGGGUAAAGCUGAUCUGCCCUGGGUAAGUCGGGGCCUAAGGCGAGGUCGGAAGACGUAGCCGAUGGACAACAGGUAGAGAUUCCUGUACUGCAUAUGGUCAGAACUGUGGGGACACGGGGUGUUAACGGAAGCCGGGAAAGGAAAGACCGGUCCAAGCACAGGAGGCGUUGCGCAGGCAAAUCCGCGCAAUAAGCCAAAGGUGUGACGGGGAGCGAAAUUAUAGUAGCGAAGUCCGGAUACAUGCUGUCAAGAAAAGCCGCUAUUGCGCCAUAUGUACCCGUACCGUAAACCGACACAGGUGGAUGAGGAGAGAAUCCUAAGGCCGGCGGGAGAAGUGUUGUUAAGGAACUCGGCAAAAUGGCCCCGUAACUUCGGGAGAAGGGGCGCCCAGAAAUGGGCCGCAGAGAAAAGGCUCAAGCAACUGUUUAGCAAAAACACAGGUCUAUGCGAAACCGAAAGGUGAGGUAUAUGGGCUGACGCCUGCCCGGUGCUGGAAGGUUAAGGGGAGAGGUUAGCCGCAAGGCGAAGCUUUGAACUUAAGCCCCAGUAAACGGCGGCCGUAACUAUAACGGUCCUAAGGUAGCGAAAUUCCUUGUCGGGUAAGUUCCGACCCGCACGAAAGGCGUAAUGAUUUGAGCACUGUCUCGACAACACACCCGGUGAAAUUGAAAUACCAGUGAAGAUGCUGGUUACCUGCGCCAGGACGGAAAGACCCCAUGG